GCGGGAAGCCAGGCUCCAUGAAUGUCUCUUAAAUACCAAAGGCCAAUUCACACCAUUCAAUAUUCAAAUCGGAAUCCUACGUGCUAUGCCUUGCUGCGGAGUCUUCUAGCUUCUGGGCAUAAUUUGCUUAAUUUGACUCCGCGUUGCCAGCUGCCUGCUCUCAGCAGCACUGAAGACGCGCAGGGCCAGCAGCACCUGACGGCUUCAAUCACCGCAGGCUGAGCCUGGCAGCUGUCGGUAUAAGCAGUCCUAUUCUGCAGUGAUUUUAAUAGUGAUUAAAAUACCGAGGACGAGUUUGCAAAAGCCCAGAUUGCAGCCCGAAUGGUUUAAUUUAGAGCAGUGACACCCUGUACUCGUGGCGACCCCACGACCGCCGCCGUCGGGCUAGAUUUAGGGGUUGGGCUAGGCGACUCGCUGGAUCCUCAGCGCCGGGGGUGGCUGGGCCGGCGGGCAGGGCGGAUCCCAACCUCCUGCCUCGCUCAGAAUCGGCCCAGUGGCAGAGCCGCCGCAGGGAGGACGCGUCGCGCAGCACCAGCUCGGCCUCACAGCGCGCAGGGAAGCCGGCGAGGGUGAAGAGGACAGGAGCUUGCAGAAAUCCUUCCAGGAUGAGAAGACAGAGCCCGGCAGCUGGAGCUGUUGUAACCUCCCUCCGACACCCUGAAUUCCCUCCACCAGGCUGGUGGGACCAAGGGUCAAGCCUUCAAGUGGGCCCCUGGCCCUCUGCCCUGGCCUGCAGGGGGCAGGGAUUGAACUGGCUCCCAAGUUGCCUCAGAGGGUCACCCAUGUGACAGUGACUGCCCAACCUCACCCGCCAGCAGAAAUCAAAGGGGUCAGGGAUUUUUUCCUCCGAGGAAAACAACAUUGAUUCCGUAAGAUGACACAUACACUGCAAGAGUCGAGUGGAACCAUAGGAAAUCUGUGUCUAUUUAUAAGACAAAGUUAAGCCCACCAAAGUCUACAAAUCACAGAGCGCUUGGGUCCAGGGUCAGGACAGAGUGCUGGUCCUGCAGUCAGGCCAUCCUGGGCCACCGGCCUACAUGUCAUAGAGCCGGAGCUGCUCCUGCAUGUCGCCAUCGGACAUCUCGCCGAAAGUCUCCUUGUGGUCCUUCAUGAGCUUGAAGAUGGCAGCCAGCUGCUCUUUCUGAACUCUGUCGAGAAGAAGGCAGAAGAGGAAAAAGAGGCUCCUACGCCAGCAGCCAGGGAGCAAGCGUGCAGCUGUGGGGAGGUAGGGAUGGAGGACGGGUCGCUCUCCUCCACUGCUCCCACCUUUGCUGUUCGGUGUAAGGGUAAAGAAAACGAGCAAUGAUGCACAUCUGUAAUUCUAGCACAGGGAAGGCUGAGGCAGGAGGAGCGCUGUGAGUUUAAGGCCAGCGUAGGCUACAUAGUGAGUUCAAGGCCAGCCAUUGCAAGAUGCUCUCAAAAACAAAAAACAGGAUGAAACUCAUUUAAACUAUAGAUGCCGGUUUGUUCUAACACUCCACACUGGGAUUCUACAUUUCAGAUUCAAUCUAGAGGUUGGGGGGCCCACAAGUAUCUCUUUGCAUCCCAUGGAGAUGCUUCGCUUUCCCCAUGUGGAUCGGUAUCUUCUAGUAAGGCAAGGCAGAGGAGGACACCUCCCGUGACACAGCUUGAGCUUGCUGGAAAAGACAGCCCCUGAUUCAAGGCACUGGCCAGAGAGCUUAUGAAUGGGAAGUCGGGCAAAGGGGUGCAGAAGGGAGGGGGAGGCCCACGCUGUGAGGUUUUCCUGCCAGAGAAAGGGGCGCUUAUGCUUUGCACAAAGAUGUCCUUUGGCAGGUGGUGGCCGCAUCCCUCUUGCCACAGACGUGGGCGAGGACUGACAUUGUGCUUACUGCACUCAGGCUGUUAUCUUUACAAGGCGGGGUAGCACCAUCUGCCGGCACAGGGCAACUCCCACAGCAAACACAAAGGGUGGGGUGGGCCCCAGGAGCCAGGGGACGUCAUGGUGUGUUGUUUGUUCCCUUCUGGCACCCUCUCCCUAUGCUGUCCUCACUUCUGUGGUUCCUGUCCUCCACAUCACAGCGCUGGCUUGACACCUUGUGAGGAGAGAGACCACACUGCGGGUCGGACCUCCCAGCCCUUCCCAGAGGGGUCUGGUCGCCCCAUCGGUCAGUAUGGUGCAGGCUUUACCAGUUUCCAGGCUGCCAGCAGCCCACACAUUCCCCAGAAGCCGGUCUCGACCUCUGGACUCAUAUUUGCUUACCAUACUUCUGCAAUAUCCCUCCUCCUGCCCCCAUAUCUUCCGCCCAGCUGCCAGGUGGCACACACAGGUUCAAAUACUGAAGCAAUCCUCAGCCUCCUUUAUCUAGAUUAGUUGAAAACCACAAUGUGUUUAAAUUUUUAAAAAUUGAUUAUAAUAAGAGAAGCAUUGCCACGAACCCCCCUCACACGCUUCAAACACACGGAUCCCAUCACUCUGGACACUUUCUGAAGCAGCUCUGGAAGUCCUCUUUCGUGAGCCUUUAAUCCCACGGCCGAGAUGUCCUGGACCAAUCCCAAACAUUCACCUCUUGUGGUCGUUUUGACCUGGGGAAGAACCAGAGUCCCGUGGCACCACACUCAGUGGCUAAGGUGGGUGAGGACUUGGCGGACUGUUUUUGGAGCCCGCCUUUGUGUUGGACAGCAAUGGACAGCAGCAAGUGUUCACAUUCUGUGUGUAGCUCACAGAUACGCACCAGAGAGGAUUCCAGAAGUGAUUCAGAAAGUGGCAAGAACAAUAAGGCACGUGUGCAAAGCAAAGGGGGUGCUUUUUGAGAGGACCAACAGCAAUGUCGUCUGUAAUCAGUUUUUAAAAUUUAAACGUUCUCUGCAGUUUUCCACUCCUCGUGUGGUCAGCUCCACUGUCUGGAUGCAUUCUGUACCCUGCAGUCCAAAGAAACAGGAAUUUUUUAAAAAGAAGGAGGGAUCGUGAACCGGAAGUCAUGUGCAGAGCACGGGAUGGACUCCCUCCCAUCUGCACCAGGGCAUCUCCCUGAAUUAUUACAAGCUACUCCACACGGUGGCUGCGGCCAUUGCGUAUUUUAAACAGGCUGGGCACAAGGCCUCAUACUCUGUGGAAGAAUGACAGAGCAUGAAAAUGAAACAGAGCCAGGCGUGGUGGCACAUGCCUGUAAUCCCAGCACUUGGGAGGCCGAGGUAGGAGGACCAUGGUGAGUUCCAGGCCAGCCUGGGCUACAAAGUGAGUUCAAGGCCAGCCUGAAAUUCAUAGUGAAACCCCCCUCAAAAAGACAAAAAGAAAAAAGAAAGAGGUAAAAUGAAAGAGAACUCAGUUGAAUCAGUUCCAAAGAGGCUAUUAAAAAAAAAAAAAAAAAAAAAAA